rnacentral:rRNA from 1 species
UCGCGAAACCUCUGCAAUGCACGAAAGUGUGACAGGGGGAAUCCAAGUGCCAAUUUAUUGGCUUUUGCCAAAUGUAAAUAGUUUGGCGAAUAAGUGGGGGGUAAGAUACGUGCCAGCCGCCGCGGUAAUACGUACCCCACAAGUGGUAUCCACUUAUAUUGGGCCUAAAACGUUUGUAGCCGGUUUGAAUAGUCUCUGGUGAAAUCCAAUCGCUUAACGAUUGUGAAUGGCUGGAGAUACUUUCAGACUCGAGGCUGGGAGAAGUGCGUGGAAUUCUGGGGGUAGAGUGAAACCCUGUGAUCCUCAGAGGACCACCCGUAGCGAAGGCGACGCACUAGAACAGGCCUGACGGUGAGAAACGAAGCUGGGGGAGCGACCCGGAUUAGAUACCCGGUUAGUCCCAGCCGUAAACGAUGUCGACUAGGUGUGCUAGAACCUAUAGGGUUUGGCGUGCCGAAGCGAAGGCA